CUCUCGCACACGGUUGAAUUUUUUUACUUUCGCCCCUUGUCAUUCAAUGUACUAUUUAUUUGUCUUGUAUAGUUUCACUUCUGAAACUUACAAGACAAAAAGGCAAAUUUGGUACGCACCUGUAGAGUGCGGACAAACAAACGCUGGAGUGAUUUAUGAUGUUCCCAAAACGGUGAUUACUCCGCACACCGUUUAUAAUCAAGGAUUACCUUCUUGGUAUCCACGAAUACAACGACCACCAACAGAUACAAUUCUUGCCAGCCCUAUCGAUCCAAACACAUUGAGACGUUGUCAACCUGAUCAAUUUCAAUGUUCAUCGCCACUACAAUGCUUUGAAUCUACAGCGCAUUGUGAUGGUAUAGUCCACUGCGUUGACGGAAGCGACGAAGCAGAUUGUACAUGCACUGAAAAAAUUGAUCGAAGUAGGAUCUGUGACAAUUAUAUCGAUUGUCCAGAUGGCAGUGAUGAAGUUGGAUGCUUCGGAUGUGAACAUAAUUUAUACUCAUGUCAUUAUAACGAGGAAGAAUUCAUGAACAACUCCGGUCAGUCGAUGUGUUACACUGACGCUGAGAUAUGCGACGGAAUGCGACAUUGUUCUAACGGGAAAGACGAAAGCCAGUGUCUAUUGUUGGUAUCAAAAAUAACAUCAAAACCAGAACCAUUCGUGAGAAGCACCGAUGGAUAUCUAUACAUAAAUUACGAAAACGAAUGGUAUCCGGUGUGUGUGGACCUAUUCAACUGGACAAGUGAAGUUUGUCUAAAUGAGCAGGGCUUUGAGUUAAGCAAUUUUGUUUGGCAGUAAUGACCCAACUACUUCGUACGAGCAGUCCAACUAUAAAGGCAAAUACAUAACGAGUGUAAGACUGUUGAGUGGCGUUAAAAAACAAAUAGUUGACAAUUGUUCUAUACCCGGAGUGGAAUCUGCCAAUGCUAUUCUCCGUGUAAAAUGUCCUUAUGUCUGUGGGAAAACGUUCCAUAUCGAAAAUAACAUUCACCGAAACAUGAGAAUUGCCGGUGGCAAAGAAGCAACAUCUGGUUCACAUCCUUGGCUCGUGAGUUUACACCUGAAUGGAACGUUCGUGUGUGGAGGUAGUAUCAUCGAACAAAAAUGGAUCUUAACAGCAGCUCAUUGCUUGUUAGUGAAUAUGAAAAGGAAUGUAGGGCAAUAUGAUUAUGUGGACAUAAGAGCGGGAAUUCUUCGUCAAAAUAGCUUCUCAGCGCAUGAGCAAGCUGUCCGCGUUAUGAAAGUCUACAUACAUAGUGGCUUCGAUUUGAAAACCCUUGGAAGUGAUAUCGCUCUCUUAGAACUCGCUAAACCGUUACGAUACAAUCGUUGGGUUCGCCCUAUUUGCUUGCCAACACAAGGAAUGAUCAUCAACGAUAGCGUUCAUGAUUUGACAAAGAAUUAUGAAAACAUGACUUGUUUAGCAGCGGGCUGGGGCUCAUUUACGUAUCGAGGACAAAUUCCAGUUGACAAUGCUAAUGAAGUACAAUUGUCAAUAGUCCGAGUUUGCGAUCCAACCAAUCCUACUGUUUUUUUGCGCUGGAUACACGAGAGGUGGAUUUGACACCUGCUACGGUGAUUCCGGUGGACCAUUUGUAUGUACGAGUGACACAAAUCGCACAAAUUAUUUCUUGGCCGGUAUCACCAGUUACGGCUACAACCCUACUUUAUCAGACAAAGAAAUGGUGCGAUGUGGAGAGCCAGAUUCUUAUACGGCUUUCACGCGAAUGACAAUGUUCAGUACGUAUAUAGACGAAAUAAAAAUGUAUGCAAGUGGUUCAGUGGCUUUACGUGGCAAGUGCCCGGGAAGACGAUGCAGGUCCAAUAGACGAUGCGUUCGAGCACUUGAUGGCAUAGUCGACUGUCUAGCGGGUGAAGAUGAAAGAAAUUAACUUGAGCAAAGAAAAACAAUCGAGGUUGUUGAAUGUUGUGCUUACUUUUUUCUUAAUAGAUUUUCUCUGUAAACUACA